UUACCACCUCAUUUGCAAGU
rnacentral:misc_RNA from 1 species